rnacentral:rRNA from 1 species
UACGUAGGGACCUAGCGUUGUCCGGAAUGAUUGGGCGUAAAGCGUCCGCAGGUGGCAGUUCAAGUCUGCUGUCAAAGACCGGGGCUUAACUUCGGAAAGGCAGUGGAAACUGAACAGCUAGAGUAUGGUAGGGGCAGAGGGAAUUCCUGGUGUAGCGGUGAAAUGCGUAGAGAUCAGGAAGAACAUCGGUGGCGAAGGCGCUCUGCUGGACCAUAACUGACACUCAGGGACGAAAGCUAGGGGAGCGAAUGGG